GGACAGGUGGCAGAGUGGUCGAAUGCGCACGCUUGGAAAGCGUGUGAGGCAGCAAUGUCUCCGCGGGUUCGAAUCCCGCCCUGUCCGCCA
rnacentral:tRNA from 4 species